UACGAAGGGGGCUAGCGUUGCUCGGAAUCACUGGGCGUAAAGGGUGCGUAGGCGGGUCUUUAAGUCAGGGGUGAAAUCCUGGAGCUCAACUCCAGAACUGCCUUUGAUACUGAAGGUCUUGAGUUCGGGAGAGGUGAGUGGAACUGCGAGUGUAGAGGUGAAAUUCGUAGAUAUUCGCAAGAACACCAGUGGCGAAGGCGGCUCACUGGCCCGAUACUGACGCUGAGGCACGAAGGUCAGGGGAGCAAACGGG
rnacentral:rRNA from 1 species